AGCUGUGCAGCAGUCAGAAGUUCACAGCUCCUGUUCUACACUUUGGUUCUAGAGGGAGAAGAAUUGUACUGGUUUAAUUUUGGAGGGAAGACAGGGUUUGAUUUGAUUGAGUAUAGUUAUGUGGGUUUUUUUUUUUUUUUAAUGGAGGGAACUUUAGUUGUUUUGAUUGGUUUGUUUGGAAAAAAAUUGGAGGGAAAAAGAGGAUAUAAAGAGGCUGCCUUGAGCAGAGUUUUACUGCAAGUUAGAGAGCUGAAGAGUGUUCAGGUGAAGGAGUGCAAGGAGUGCAAGUUGCUGUCACAGCCAUAGAGGAUCAGAGCUGGUGCUGGAAAGAGAGCUGAGAAAUCACUGGGAGAGUGUGACUCUCUGAAAGACUGACUCACUCCCAAAGCAGCUGAAGAGGAACAGUCUGGGAUCCAACCCCCAGAACUGGGAAAGAAGAGCAGGACCUGAGGCUGAGCAAGGGACAAGGCUUGCUGCAGAAGCUGACUAAAGGUGAUUGCAAAAGGACUCUUGAUGGGAUUGCAUUUAGCGGUGGGAGAUAAACUGACCUUCUUCAGUCCAGCACAAGAUGUUUCCAGGGGCUGUUACUGAUAUUUCUCUUGUAUUUCUGUUUAGAUUGUGAGCCAUUUGGGGACAGAUUGCAGGCUCUGCUAUGCUGGGAUGCCUUGAAAUAACCAAAUGAGAUGUUUGAUGUCUGGCGGCCUGGCAGCUCGCAUUUGCAGGAGGUUGCUUUUAACACUGCUUGUACCCAGAACUAAGAUGCUCUUGGAAUAAAGUAGGCAUUUCUGUCUC